UAAUUUUAAGUGAAAAAGGAAUUUGGCUCGAUGAAUUGAUUGGGUGCUUAAGGUGUUUCACAUAAUUUAGUUCUGCAUCCUCCUCUCUGUGAAGUAUCUUACCAGACUCUAUGCUAGGACAGCAAUUUCCAAGUUUGUGAAAGUCAAGUGUACCUACUCUGCUGCAUUAUUAACAGCUGAAGAUGCAGUCCAUUAUCUGAAAGACUUAUACUUAGAAUACGGGGAAGAUUCUUUACAUCUGAAAACUGACUUUGCCCACUACCACCAGAUUCAAGGUCAACACAUGUGUAACAAGACAUGUUGCAUCUUCUUGGU